rnacentral:rRNA from 1 species
GCCUGAAGCCAUCCCACCCUCGUAAUGCCCAAUCUUGGAAGGUAAGCAGGGUCAGGCCUGGUUAAUACUUGGAUGAAGACCUCCUGGGAAUACUCGGUGCAGUAGGCU